GAAGGGGGCUAGCGUUGCUCGGAAUUACUGGGCGUAAAGGGCGCGUAGGCGGACAGCUUAGUCAGAGGUAAAAGCCCAGGGCUCAACCUUGGAACUGCCUUUGAUACUGGCUGUCUUGAGUUCGGGAGAGGUGAGUGGAAUGCCGAGUGUAGAGGUGAAAUUCGUAGAUAUUCGGCGGAACACCAGUGGCGAAGGCGACUCACUGGCCCGAUACUGACGCUGAGGCGCGAAAGCGUGGGGAGCAAACAGGAUUAGAUACCCUGGUAGUCCACGCUGUAAACGAUGAGUGCUAGUUGUCGGCAUGCAUGCAUGUCGGUGACGCAGCUAACGCAUUAAGCACUCCGCCUGGGGAGUACGGUCGCAAGAUUA
rnacentral:rRNA from 1 species